rnacentral:rRNA from 1 species
UACGUAGGGUGCGAGCGUUGUCCGGAAUUAUUGGGCGUAAAGGGCUCGUAGGCGGUUUGUCGCGUCGGGAGUGAAAUCCACUGGCUUAACUGGUGGCUUGCUUUCGAUACGGGCAGACUGGAGGUAUGCAGGGGGAGAACGGAAUUCCUGGUGUAGCGGUGAAAAUGCGCAGAUAUCAGGAGGAACACCGGUGGCGAAGGCGGCAUCCUGGACCAGAUUGACGCUGAUGCGCGAAAAGCCAGGGGGAGCAAAACGGGG